rnacentral:tRNA from 1 species
GCGCAGGUGGUGGAACUGGUAGACACGCUACUUUGAGGGGGUAGUGGGGGAAACCCUGUGCGAGUUCAAAUCUCGCCCUGCGCACCA